GGUAAAGCUUCAAUUCAGCAAUUAGUUAGACAGACGAUUUUGGAACCUUGUGAGGUUUGGUAAAGCUUCAAUUCAGCAAUUAGUUUCCAUAUGAUAUAAAUUACAAAGAUCGAGCAAUUAAUAUUAAUAAAUAAACCCAGCAGAGUACUGAGGCUUUGGACGCCCUGUGCAUGGAAGCACUGCUGUAUUUGCUGGCGUUUUCCAUGCCUCUGUUUUAUUUUAGCUGUUCUGUAUGUACAGCACACGAGAACGUAUACCACAUUCACGUACUAAAAAUACAUUAAGGAGAGAGGGGAAAAAAAAAAAAAAAAAAAAAAAAAAAAUAGAAAUGCUCUGCAAAAUUUUGGGGGAAAAAAAAAAAAAAAAAAAAAAAAGGAAAAUCAAUAGCAGUGAAAGAGAGACAUAACCAUUUCACAUCGAGCGCACCCAGUACCAAGCCAAGACACCAAAACUCCCUGCUGCGGACCACGGCUUCUCCCUUCCAAGCACGCAUGUUCCUGCCACGGCAAGUGAAGCCCAGGACGGACAGCGGCCAGACCCUGGUUUAGAGAGGUUGUUCGCCCCGGGCAGCUUUCGGGAUACCCGCACGUCAACCAUCACCACAGCCUCAACCAGGGCGGCGAAAAAAAACCGAAAUAAAAUCAGAAUUACAAUCGCCGGCAGCACGGCACGCAUUAGAAGUUGGCAACGACGCCGGGGGGUUAUAUCUAUUUUUUUUUUUUUUCCCCCUUCUUUCGCAGUCCGAGCGGGCAGUGCCAGGCUGCGCCGGGAGGGGAAUGCCCCAACUUUGGAGCAGUUGUCCAGGGCCGCCCCGCGGGGGGGGGGGGGGGGGGGGGGGGGGGGGGGGGGGGGGGGGGGGGGGGGGGGGGGGGGGG
rnacentral:lncRNA from 12 species